UACUCACCUCUCAAAUGAGGUCAGGGUGGAGGAGCACCCAGCCUGGAAAACAGCCCUGAGCAGACGUUCAACAGAUAAUUGUCUCCUCCAUCAUAACAUCUCCUCUGCCCUCCUCCACUACCCAGGGUUGUUAGAGCACCUCGUUCUUUUCAAAGCACCUCUGUCUUUACCAUCUGUGAAUCCAAAACCCAGCCAAGAGCUGUCCUUUGCAUUUUGCAGAUGAGUCCAUGGGACCCAGCUUUCUCCAAGUGACUUGCCAGGAUCACAUCACCAAAUGUGGAGGAACGGGAACCAGACCCACAACUGGGCCCCGGGAGGUAGAAGGGGGAGCUGGAUUCUAUCUUCUUUCUGCUUUGAGAGUUCUCAAAUAUAGAAAGGCUCACUGAAUGCCAAACAGUGAAAACAACAUAUCUCAACCAAGGCAACCUUCCCUGUAAGGCUAUACAAGGGGAGAAAGUUUAAUGAAGUCACAAAUCAUAAUAACAAGGGUGGCAGAGACCACCACCACAGAACCACAGCUGUCCACGAGAAGAGACUCCCGGCCUGGGAAACGCUGACGUGUCCAGCCUGUCUAAGCCGCUCACUCUACCAUGCCAGCCCGUUUGCUUUUCCUGGGCCCAGCUGCCCCUGAGAAACCACAGGCAACCUAGACCUACUGGGUGAUGAAUCGACCUCCUCGGCCACCCAGUCACUCUCCCAAAUUUCUGUCUUUCUCUUUUCCCAUGAACCAGACAUGCUGAGACAGAAAACUGUAGAUUUGGGAGAGCAUAAGAUGAAA